UACGGAGGGAGCUAGCGUUUGUUCGGAAUUACUGGGCGUAAAGCGCACGUAGGCGGCUACUCAAGUCAGAGGUGAAAGCCCAGGGCUCAACCUUGGAACUGCCUUUGAAACUAGGUAGCUAGAAUUCUGGAGAGGUCAGUGGAAUUCCGAGUGUAGAGGUGAAAUUCGUAGAUAUUCGGUAAGAACACCAGUGGCGAAGGCGACUGACUGGACAGAUAUUGACGCUGAGGUGCGAAAGCGUGGGGAGCAAACAGG
rnacentral:rRNA from 1 species